rnacentral:ribozyme from 1 species
ACAAGUUUGAGGCCAUAGCAGAAGUGAUAAGGUGCGGCCUGUCAGAUUCCAAUGGAUCUGUGAAUUCUGCU